rnacentral:rRNA from 1 species
UCUCGCAGUACGGUCGGAAAUCGUACGUAGAGUGUAAAGGCAAAAGGGAGCUUGUGUGCGAGAGAUGCAGGUGGAGCAAGAAUGAAAUUCGGAGUGAGUGUUCCGGGGGUCGUGGGUGGAAGGGCCAUCGAUGAACGGAUAAAAGCUACCCGGGGGAUAACAGGCUGAUCUCCCCCAAGAGUCCACGUCGACGGGGAGGUUUGGCACCUCGAUGUCGGCUCAUCACAUCCGGGGGCUGUAGUAGGUCCCAAGGGUUGGGCUGUUCGCCCAUUAAAGUGG